rnacentral:rRNA from 1 species
UACGUAGGGUGCAAGCGUUGUCCGGAAUUAUUGGGCGUAAAGAGCUCGUAGGCGGUCUGUCGCGUCGGCUGUGAAAACCCGGAGCUCAACUCCGGGCCUGCAGUCGAUACGGGCAGACUUGAGUUCGGUAGGGGAGACUGGAAUUCCUGGUGUAGCGGUGAAAUGCGCAGAUAUCAGGAGGAACACCGGUGGCGAAGGCGGGUCUCUGGGCCGAUACUGACGCUGAGGAGCGAAAGCGUGGGGAGCGAACAGG